rnacentral:lncRNA from 1 species
CUGUGAUAACAUGUACCUCUGACAUCUUGGCGAGCGCUAAGUUCUGUUUCUGGGUUCCCUUUGCAGAGUCCCAGAAGUGAAGGUGUCUGUGCUCUACUGGGGACAAGGGGGACAACCCCUUAGAAGCAGACGUGGUUUUGUAGGUUAGAAAUGAACUUACCUUGGCAGGAAGCACUUGGCCAGGCUGGCAGAGACAGUGCUUAAGCCCUCACAUGCCAGAUUUCUUCAGAAGCACAAAAGGAGAUGUUCUGUUCUUUGAAAAUAACUGGAGCCACUGGCAAGAAGCAGCAGCACUGCAUCAAACAAGGAAAGCAUCUCCAGGUUAUCAGAACAUGCUGUUGAACUGAAUUUUGCA